rnacentral:lncRNA from 10 species
CCUGACCGACGUUGACCGCAUCGCCACCUUGGGCUACCUGCCCACCCAGCAGGACGUGCUGCGGGUCCGCGUGCCCACCACCGGCAUCAUCGAGUACCCUUUCGACCUGGAGAACAUCAUCUUCCGCUGGGCGUGGUUGUGUGCACCUGUGGUCCCAGCUACUCAGGAGGCUGAGGCAGGAGGAUCGCUCAAGCCCAGGAGGUUGAGGCUGAAGUGAGCCAUGAUGGCACCACUGGACUCCAGCCUGGGCGACAGAGGGAGACCCUGUUUCGUCUUAUUAAACAAAAGAAAGCCC